GGCGGCGUGCUUAACACAUGCAAGUCGAACGCUGAAGCUUGGUGCUUGCACUGGGUGGAUGAGUGGCGAACGGGUGAGUAAUACGUGAGUAACCUGCCCUUGACUCUGGGAUAAGCCUGGGAAACUGGGUCUAAUACUGGAUACGACGGCGCAUCGCAUGGUGUGUUGUGGAAAGGGUUUUACUGGUUUUGGAUGGGCUCACGGCCUAUCAGCUUGUUGGUGGGGUAAUGGCUCACCAAGGCGACGACGGGUAGCCGGCCUGAGAGGGUGACCGGCCACACUGGGACUGAGACACGGCCCAGACUCCUACGGGAGGCAGCAGUGGGGAAUAUUGCACAAUGGGCGGAAGCCUGAUGCAGCGACGCCGCGUGAGGGAUGACGGCCUUCGGGUUGUAAACCUCUUUCAGCACGGAAGAAGCGAGAGUGACGGUACGUGCAGAAGAAGCGCCGGCUAACUACGUGCCAGCAGCCGCGGUAAUACGUAGGGCGCAAGCGUUGUCCGGAAUUAUUGGGCGUAAAGAGCUCGUAGGCGGUUUGUCGCGUCUGCUGUGAAAGCCCGGGGCUUAACCCCGGGUGUGCAGUGGGUACGGGCAGACUUGAGUGCAGUAGGGGAGACUGGAAUUCCUGGUGUAGCGGUGAAAUGCGCAGAUAUCAGGAGGAACACCGAUGGCGAAGGCAGGUCUCUGGGCUGUUACUGACGCUGAGGAGCGAAAGCAUGGGGAGCGAACAGGAUUAGAUACCCUGGUAGUCCAUGCCGUAAACGUUGGGCACUAGGUGUGGGGAACAUUCCACGUUUUCCGCGCCGUAGCUAACGCAUUAAGUGCCCCGC
rnacentral:rRNA from 1 species